AUUGAACGCUGGCGGAAUGCUUUACACAUGCAAGUCGAACGGCAGCACGGACUUCGGUCUGGUGGCGAGUGGCGAACGGGUGAGUAAUAUAUCGGAACGUAUCCAAUAAUGGGGGAUAACUAAUCGAAAGGUUAGCUAACACCGCAUACGCCCUGAGGGGGAAAGCUAGGGACCGCAAGGCCUGGCGUUAAUGGAGCGGCCGAUAUCUGAUUAGCUAGUUGGUGAGGUAAAGGCUCACCAAGGCUUCGAUCAGUAGCUGGUCUGAGAGGACGACCAGCCACACUGGAACUGAGACACGGUCCAGACUCCUACGGGAGGCAGCAGUGGGGAAUUUUGGACAAUGGGCGAAAGCCUGAUUCAGCCAUUCCGCGUGGGUGAAGAAGGCCUUCGGGUUGUAAAGCUCUUUCGCAAGGGAAGAAAACUUAUCCUCUAACAUAGGGUGAGGUUGACGGUACCUUGAUAAGAAGCACCGGCUAACUACGUGCCAGCAGCCGCAGUAA
rnacentral:rRNA from 1 species